GGGGGGGGGGGUGUGCGGGUUGAGUGUGUGUGUGUGCAGGUGGUGGGACAUUCAGCAUAUGGCUGGCUAUGGGCGGGCAUAUGGAUUUUAGGAUAUAGCUCUAUAUUUGCUGUUUGUUGCUUUAAGCUGAGUUUGCUUCCCAUAUCUGUGGGUGGUAGAGGUUGGUCACUAAUGGCAACCUAUGGGAUUUUUGGCAUUUAAACGUGAAGGUUAUGUUAGAAAAUUCUUGCCAUUUGAUUGAUUCCUCAAUUGCUCUGAUGGUGCUCUACUCUAAUUGCGGCUUUGAUUGCUUCAUUAACUAUCCAAUAGGUUGAUCUGUAUGAUAGUCCUCAAUUUACCCAUAAAUUUAGCCACUCACUAUGACUUAAUUUCAAUUAAAUCAUCACAUGGUGCCAGAUAAAAAAGCUUCUCCAUGUAGGCUUUCAUCUUGUGAAUCCCUUGUUUACAACUUUGAUCCUAUUGAAAUAAUAUUUGAUCAUAGUUAACAGAUAAAAGCUGUACCUUUAUUAUCUACUGCCAUGCCCCUAUCGAAUUCAGUUUGUAGCCAUUCCCAGCAUGUUGAAGCACCAACCUUCAAUGUGUAAGUGAAUAGUUCCAUCUUUUUUAACCUGUGAAUUUUCAUGUAAUCAGAGAACCUCUUGACUUCAGCAACCCAAUUGAGGAAAUCUUGAUAUUUUAUUGGCUCUUGAAAGCUGGAAGAUUUGUCUUCAUAUGAUAGUCUCGAUCUUGGUGUCUUGUUCAUGUUGCAUCUCUUUGAAUAAUAACUUCAUCAAUCUCCUUGCUACUACCCCCUUCUUUGUAGGGUUGAAAUUGGCUAUUUCGAUCACGAUCCAUGUGACUGCAAGCACCAUCAUCACCAAAGUACAUAAGUUGGUCUGAAGAGAAAGUUGUUUCAACCCAUCGACCAAUUAAUGGAUUGAUCAUUGAAUCACCUUGAAUGAUGUGCUGAACACAUCUUCAGUCACUUAUUAACCAUUGAGUGUGUUGUUCUUGGAGGUGUCAUCACUUUUAUUUGUUGUUGAAUUCUGUCAGGCCAAGGACGAACUCACUUUGAUUCCACCUAAUGUUAACGUCAUCCUCUUAAAACAAGCCCAAAUCUAAAAUCAAAACCCUGUCUUCUUUAGCUCACAAAUCAACCUUGGCUUCAGACGGAAUACCACAACUUUCUCAAGAUAAAAAAAGGAAAAAUAAUGUUAUUAACAAGAAAGAAUAGUUCAGCUGUACAAUCAAGACUUCUUAUAUAGGUGCCAGUUUCCUUGACAAGUCAAAUAAAGUUAUAAAUAGAACCCUAUUCUAGUCUACUUAUAAAAUAAAAGGAAACUAGAGUGUUGCUUUGUAAUAAUUCCUACACUUCGCGGGAACAAAAGAGCAUCACUUUCACUUGGUCAUGUCACCAGCUAACACAUGUUGACCUACCAAAAUAAGGGAACCCUAAAGAAACCUACAUCUCAAGCUAUCAGGUAAUGUUUUCAUAAAUUUUGGCAACUUUGCAAGUCUUCUAAUAUAAUGAUGACUUUGCCCAGCAGUCCUUCUCCUACUUGGACUUUACUGAUCCUGUCGAUGCUUGAACUCAUCCUUGACAUGGUUUGCAUCACCUAGGCUCUGGGUCCAGCUUAAGUAAGCCUAAAGGGGACUAGUCCUCUGGUUUCAACUCUCCAUGAGUUCAAUCUAUCGGAUCUAGCUGGGAGAACUUAAAUUGAUGAACCCUCAUGAACUUGGGCUCAACUAUUUGAGCCCAUUUCAUGAUCUUAAUUCUCUAAGCUCAAAAAAUCUUGGAGUGGUUACUAACUCAACCGUGCAAGCUUUGGUUGGUGAUUUUCUUUUGAAUACAAUUGGAUUUAGUCUUUUGAGCCAGCUAAAGCAAACAUGGCACAAGCCUUCAGCUCCAGUCAUGUAACUAGUUAUGUCCCUCGAAUAAUUUGAAUUGCACACUAUCUUUGUAUUCAGUACAUAUUGGAUUUUAGGAAUUGUAGGAUAAGGCUAGGAUACAUGCAAGCUACUUACUAAGGGUCUCAUAUUUUUAGAAAUUAAAAUAGGGCUUCAUAUACUUCUUAGGUACAUUUAAGGGUGAGUCUUUUUUUUUUAAAUAUUUAAGGGAUGCUAACCUUUUAAUUAUGAACCUGAUGUAUGGUUAAUCUUAGAAUAUGUAACAUUGAUGUUAUGCCCUAUGGAUUUUUAUCAUGACAAGAUGAUGGAGCUUGUGGAUGUUGAUGUUGCCUGAGGCUUGGGUACAAUAGUAUGAUGGCAUGUAUGUUUCAUUAGAAUAUUUCAUAUCAUGUUUUUUUCUUUCUAGAUUUGUCAUAUUGGUGCACCAAACCAUGUUAUAUUCAUAUGCAUGCUUCAUAAACAUAAUGAAGUUGACUAGAUAAUAGAUUUUGUGGAUGCUUAUGAUAUUCUAUUAUGUUUUAUUGUUAUGUUCUAGAAUUACUACAUUUUUUUAAUAAGAUUUGUUAUAUUUGGCAUCAUAUCAUGUUGCAUCCAUUAGCUUGCUUCAUAGUAAUCUAUGAAGCAAUUUUGGAUUUAAUCUUUUGAGUCUACUCAAAGGUUUAUCUCUAAACUCUAAGGUAUUAUCCAAGGUUCGCCGUUUCAGUACCAAACCUUAUAUUGGUACCAUCCUAUUAUAAAGUCGAUACAUGGUAUGGUACAACAAGGUUUGGCAUACCUAGUGUUGGGAAAUUUAUAGAAACAAAAUCAGAAAAUUUAUAGAGAUUGUGCAUAAUUAAAAAAGAUUGUGCAUAGUGAACAUAGACAUGUGUGCCCUUUGUCAAGCCAUAUAUUACUGAAUGAGCAAUUUAUAGAAAAAAAAUGUUUUGCUUCUAGCCUUCUACUCUUCUUUUCAACACUUUAGAACAUGAUCUCUUAAUUGGAAAUGCCCCAAGAUCGGCAAUAAUCAAUAGUAGCUUCUGAUCCUAUGGGAACCAUGUAUGGAAGUACAAUAAUUUCUUAAUCAAAAUUGUUGGGAAUAUGUGUAGUAAUUCAUUUUUAUUCUUUCUCUCUCUAAGGAAUCAUUUCCUUUUGAGAGAUGGCUGUGGUCCCAAACCACAACCAAACCCAAUCUGACUUGGGACCACAACCAAACCCAAUCUGACUUGACCUAUUGUUACCCCUAGUUGUGGAGGAGUAUAAGGGAGAAUAUAAAAGAAAAGAAAAUGGUCUCUUUUUUUCUAUUCUUGUUUUUCUUCAUUUCUUCUACUUCGAGACCUGAGUAUUUGCCUUCACAUUCUGAAUUCAGUCCAAUGCAGUUUUUCUUGCAUCAAAAAUCUUAAUUCGUUUGCACAUUAUCGCAGAUAUUGCAUAUCUGAAAUAAAUUCUAGAUCUUAAUAAAUGUAGUUGACCUUUUGUGCUUUAGUACAUUAAAAUGCGAUCAAUGGCUGUCAAUGACUUAGGUUACAGAGUGGUCCUAGGUCUAAAUGAGCACGAAAAAAUGAGCUGCAUGCAAAUAGUCUCAAGGUGAUAAUUUUUUUCCUCGACAACCUGUAAUGUUGUCAGCAAACUGGUGUUUAAGAUUGGUAUUGUGUGUUAUUAAUGUCACACAUCUUGAGUGAGGGGUAUUUAAGUGGACUAUCAAAAGUAACGAUCUUGAAAUAGAGACCAAUAUAGGUGCACAAUGUGAUGUUAUCUCAAUUGAUGCAUAUGAUUGAAAUGGUAAUCCAAAUGGUAAAUGGAGGUAAAAUGUUAGAAACCAUCAAAGAAAUAAAUGCAAUAUGUAUAAUCACUAAUAGAAGAUGAUGGAUUUGGUCCUUGAAUAAUUAUGAAUAAUACCAAAUUAUUAGAAAAAUUCAUUUCACUAGAUAAAAGCAUGUGGUCAAGCAGUUUGACCAUAACCAUACUGAUUAAAUCAUGUGCAAAUAUCAUAGUUUUUGACAUUCUUUAAAAAUCUGCCCGUCAAUUUAACAUCAACUAUUGACCAGUUCUCUCAGCACCUGGAACCAGCAUCAGUGUUGUUUGAUAAGGAACACUGGUCAACCAAAAGCAUAGUACAAGUUGAAGACUAAAACUAGAAGUAGAUAAAUGAGCUAGUAUAAGGUGCUCUAAAUCAGAUGGACUAAGCUCUGGAACUAAAAAUUGAAGGCUUUUAAGUAAAAAUGGGAAGGUGACAGAGAUAAUCUAACCAUUUAAGCUCCCUUGCUCUUAGAUUGGUCCUAGUCCUUUGGCCCGUGUGAGGACCACAUUGCAUAAAACAUAUACAAGAAAAAGGGAGACAAGGAGUAGGCUUACUAAUAAAAAUUCAUACAAGGAACAUAUGGGACAUUUGGAAGAGUUUGCAAGUCUGUGGGUUUCACUACAUUCUAUCUGAAUCAAUUAGAAAUAUGGUUUAAUGGGGCCAACCUAUGAUAUUGAUCUAGGAGGUCAAGGGCAUUGAUCAUGCAGUUAGAUUGGAGAAACCUAGUUUUGUAUCUUUUGUUGCCUAGAAUUGAACAUAUAUGAGGUCAACGAUGCAGGAGACAUUUUCGAUGAUGGAGAAUUGGAACUAUUUGUGUCAUCACAGAAACUUUUCAAACAUGCUAUAUGCUUGGCAAGCUGGGUAAUAGAUGCCUCAGCAGCCACUCCAGUAAAUGAUUUCUAGGUACGUGAUGCCCAGCCAGUUCUCUUAGGCUCAUUUUAGAUGGCUUUGGAGACAUGAAAAGUGAAGGACUGUGAGGGCCAGAAGAUAAGGUACAGAUAUGUUGUGCUUUAAAAAAUGAUGUUAUAUUAAUGAAGAAAUUGAUGAGACAGCUUCACUUAGAAUUUCAGGAUUUUAGGCCAGAAGUGAAGUCAUCACCAAUAGAAAUGAAGAGACAGGAUCUGGAUUGGAACAAUUAAGAUGAUCCCAAAUGUCUUAUCCAAUGAUGUUGCUGUCGACAGUGACAAGCUACCCGGCAGUUGCUCUCAAUGCUAACAUGAGCAUCCCUAGCUUGCAAGAAGUCAUGAAGGGCAUCGUGAGGAUUUUAUUAGUUGCAAGUGCAAUGUAAGGUAUCUAAAUGCUUGAAGACGGCUGCGAAAGUGUGGUUUAUCCAAAGAACACAAUUGUCAAAGUAGUUGGAGGACCAAAAUUAUAAGAAAAUAAUUUGGAAGAAAAUUUUCAAGG
rnacentral:lncRNA from 1 species